rnacentral:rRNA from 1 species
UACGUAGGGGCAAGCGUUGUCCGGAUUUAUUGGGCGUAAAGAGCGUGUAGGCGGCCAGACAGGUCUGCUGUGAAAACUCGAGGCUCAACCUCGAGACGCCGGUGGAAACCGUUUGGCUAGAGUCCGGAAGAGGAGAGUGGAAUUCCUGGUGUAGCGGUGAAUGCGCAGAUAUCAGGAAGAACACCCGUGGCUAAAGGCGGCUCUCUAGUACGGUACUGACGCUGAGACGCGAAAGCGUGGGAGCGAACAGG